GAUGAACGCUAGCGGCAGGCUUAAUACAUGCAAGUCGAGGGGCAGCGCAGUGUAGCAAUACAUGGGCGGCGACCGGCAAACGGGUGCGUAACACGUACGCAACCUUCCCGUUACUGUGGGAUAGCCCAGGGAAACUUGGAUUAAAUACCACAUAUUGCCAUUGAGAGGCAUCUCUUGAUGGCCAAAGAAUUUCGGUAACGGAUGGGCUGCGGUUGAUUAGGUAGUUGGCGGGGUAACGGCCCACCAAGCCUACGAUCAAUAGCUGAUGUGAGAGCAUGAUCAGCCACACGGGCACUGAGACACGGGCCCGACUCCUACGGGAGGCAGCAGUAAGGAUAUUGGGGCAAUGGACGAAAGUCUGACCCAGCCAUGCCGCGUGAAGGAUGAAAGUCCUCUGGAUUGUAAACUUCUUUUGUACGGUAACGAAAAGGUUUGUCUUAAUACGAUGAGCUCAUGACGGUACCGUAAGAAUAAGCACCGGCUAACUACGUGCC
rnacentral:rRNA from 1 species